GUAGUUAGCCGGGGCUUUCUAAUGGGGUACCGUCAUUUUUUCGUCCCCCACAACAGAGGUUUACAAUCCGAAAACCUUCUUCCCUCACGCGGCGUUGCUGGGUCAGGCUUGCGCCCAUUGCCCAAUAUUCCCCACUGCUGCCUCCCGUAGGAGUCUGGACCGUGUCUCAGUUCCAGUGUGGCCGAUCAGCCUCUCAGCUCGGCUACCCAUCGCAGGCUUGGUGGGCUGUUAUCUCACCAACUACCUAAUGGGACGCGAACCCCUCCUUCAGCGGAUUGCUCCUUUGACCUCAUCCCGAUGCCGGGUCGUGGUCUUAUGCGGUAUUAGCACUUGUUUCCAGGUGUUAUCCCCCUCUGAAGGUCAGGUUGUUCACGCGUUACUCACCCGUUCGCCACUAAAAUUUAUCUUCCAUCCGAAAACUUCUGAUAAAUCUCCGUUCGACUUGCAUGUGUUAGGCACGCCGCCAGCGUUCGUCCUGAGCACAUACAACUACUAGA
rnacentral:rRNA from 1 species